AUUGAACGCUGGCGGCAGGCUUAACACAUGCAAGUCGAGCGGUAACAUUUCUAGCUUGCUAGAAGAUGACGAGCGGCGGACGGGUGAGUAAUACUUAGGAAUCUACCUAGUAGUGGGGGAUAGCUCGGGGAAACUCGAAUUAAUACCGCAUACGACCUAUGGGAGAAAGGGGGCAACUUGUUGCUCUCGCUAUUAGAUGAGCCUAAGUCGGAUUAGCUAGAUGGUGGGGUAAAGGCCUACCAUGGCGACGAUCUGUAGCUGGUCUGAGAGGAUGAUCAGCCACACCGGGACUGAGACACGGCCCGGACUCCUACGGGAGGCAGCAGUGGGGAAUAUUGGACAAUGGGGGAAACCCUGAUCCAGCCAUGCCGCGUGUGUGAAGAAGGCCUUUUGGUUGUAAAGCACUUUAAGCAGUGAAGAAGACUCUUCGGUUAAUACCCGGAGACGAUGACAUUAGCUGCAGAAUAAGCACCGGCUAACUCUGUGCCAGCAGCCGCGGUAAUACAGAGGGUGCAAGCGUUAAUCGGAAUUACUGGGCGUAAAGCGAGCGUAGGUGGCUUGAUAAGUCAGAUGUGAAAUCCCCGGGCUUAACCUGGGAACUGCAUCUGAUACUGUUAGGCUAGAGUAGGUGAGAGGAAGGUAGAAUUCCAGGUGUAGCGAUGAAAUGCGUAGAGAUCUGGAGGAAUACCGAUGGCGAAGGCAGCCUUCUGGCAUCAUACUGACACUGAGGCUCGAAAGCGUGGGUAGCAAACAGG
rnacentral:rRNA from 1 species